AACGAACGCUGGCGGCAUGCCUAACACAUGCAAGUCGAACGAGACCUUCGGGUCUAGUGGCGCACGGGUGCGUAACGCGGGGGAACCUGCCCUUAGGUUCGGAAUAACUCCCCGAAAGGGGUGCUAAUACCGGAUAAUGUCUUCGGACCAAAGAUUUAUCGCCUUUGGAUGGGCCCGCGUUGGAUUAGCUAGUUGGUAGGGUAAAAGCCUACCAAGGCGACGAUCCAUAGCUGGGCAGAGAGGAUGAUCAGCCACACUGGGACUGAGACACGGCCCAGACUCCUACGGGAGGCAGGAGUGGAGAAUAUUGUACACUGGGCGAAAGACUGAUCGAGCAAUGCCGCGUGAGUGAUGAAGGCCUUGGGGUUGUAAAGCUCUUUUACCCGGGAUGGUAAUGACCGUACCGGGAGAAUAAGCUCCGGCUAACUCCGUG
rnacentral:rRNA from 1 species